GGGGGGGGCGAAUGGCUGGAUAUGCUCUUAACCCAGACCGAGACCCCAAUACUUAUAUUGAUUAAUUGCCAUAUUAAUCGCCUCCCUCCGCUCUGACUUUUUCUUUCUUCGUCGAGAGAUUAAAAACAGUAAAACUGAGCCCAAUUCUUGCCCUCCCAUGAUUUAGCCGUUUUUGGCCGUUUGAUUUCAUUUGUUAAAUGUUUCUGGCCGUCCGAUCUAAAGUUGAUACUACCUUUGCCGCGAACUGGGCCUAACAUUGCAAGGGCAGCUACUCACGUAGCUAUUUUAGAGCCCGGUGGUUAAUUGGGCCUUUUUUUUCCUGCUCGGCCCAAUGCGGCGAAGGCCCUCUCCUACAAGCGCUCCCCUUCUGUGAAAGGAAAAAACUCGCCACACGAGAACGAAUCAAGGGCGGUUGAGAGGAUGUGACGGGUGGUCGAAUGAGAGCGGAUGCGGCGGCCGCUCUAUCAAGGCGAAGCAGGCGACCUGCUGUUGGAUCGAACCGACGCGCGAGCGAAUCCAGCCUACGAUCCACUCAUGAGUGAAUCCAGUGUGAGGGGAUCGAGCAUAAACGCCGGAUGCUUGUCAACCGAGGGUCGGUCGAUCCAGCCGUCGGCCGAUCAGCCUGCAAGUUUUCAAGCAGGCAAUCAUGCCUAGGGGCGACGUCUCAUCUGUACACUUCAGUUUCCAACUGAUGCGUGUAUAUAUGCUUCCUCUCCGGCCACUCUUCUCUCACCCUCUCUACUCUAGCAGCACAAAAUAUUCAUCAUCAUGCUUGGGUAGAUCUCCAUGUGUUCUUCCUUAAGCGUACGUGUCGUGGAGAUUGUUGUCCCAAGGUGAGCAGAUCAACUCUUAUUUUGUAGUAUCCGAUCAGUUCUUACAUUUGAUAAAGAUGGUGAAUACCAAUUCUUUGUUUUUGAUCAAGAUCUGAGAAUGGCAUAUGUUCCAGCCUCCAUGUGAAAAAUUGUUUGACUUUCAACUUAUUCAGUUUGGUACUUUUGUCCGUUCAAAGCUUAUGUGUUAAGCUGUGUAAGUAACUGUUUACUUGUACUACAACCAAUGCUAAUUAAGCUAAAGGAUUUAUGAGUCGGUAGCAUGUAGAAUUGUUCUGUGAAAAGCGGUAGCAGGUAAAUAUAGACUCGAAAACAGAAACUAAUAUAAGGUUCAUGGUUUCAUCCUCUCCGAUGACUAACGAAUCUUAAGAUAUUUACUCAUAAAAGGAGCUAAUUAACCAUAGCUUCCACUUUAGUGUUAUACAAGUAUGCCAUCUUAGGUGAAACAAGUAGAUAGGAUAAUAUUUUCUGUCCUUCAUCAUGUCCUCCUAAAAUUUGUUCAGGACAUUGUGAACUAAAUUACUAACAUAUCUAUUUUGAAAGAAUGUAGGAUCCAUUUCCAUUUUUCCUGAUGGUGUAUUUUUUUACUGUCCUAAAUUUCAGUAGAGUUUCUUUCAUGAAAUUUAGGCCUGACAUAUUUGUGGUUUUCUGUUUAAUGUUACAGAUUAUUCAUUUCAAUGCAAUACAGUUGUUUUGACUA